rnacentral:rRNA from 1 species
UACGUAGGGUGCGAGCGUUAAUCGGAAUUACUGGGCGUAAAGCGUGCGCAGGCGGUUUUGUAAGUCAGAUGUGAAAUCCCCGGGCUUAACCUGGGAACUGCGUUUGAAACUGGAAGGCUAGAGUGUGGCAGAGGGGGGUGGAAUUCCACGUGUAGCAGUGAAAUGCGUAGAGAUGUGGAGGAACACCGAUGGCGAAGGCAGCCCCCUGGGCUAACACUGACGCUCAUGCACGAAAGCGUGGGGAGCAAACAGG